GAGCUUGUCGGCAUAAGUGAGAGACAUGAGUACCAACAUAACGCCACAAAAAGAUCGAAAUUCGAAUAUACGUAACCCGCGAAAAUUCAAAAUUCGCGAUACUUUUUGAACACACCUCGUAUCUCGGAUACCACUUAUAAAAAGGCCUAUUGCAAUGAUGACAAUCUCCGGAGAGCGUAUGGCCUUCCCAAGGUCCACAAACCGGGUGUUCCAUUUAGAAUUAUAAUAUCGUUUAUUGAUAGCCUCCUAUAUGGUUUAGCUAAUUUACUUCAAUCUCUCAUCUCUAAGAACGUCUCUGAUGCUCCUAACAAAAUAGAUAACAGCUUCCAGCUCAUUUAAAAAUUGAAGGGUAAACAUUUAGACUCUAAUUACAGUUUAAUUUCAUUGGAUGUCAUUUCCUUAUUUACGAAUAUCCCUAUAGAACUGGCAAUGGAAAGUAUCUCCAAUAGGUAGAAGCACAUUGAGGGUGCUUGCAAUAUUCCGAGGUUUGAAUUCCUACAAGCUGUAAAGUUUGUUCUCGAGUCCAUUUACUUCAUCUUUGGAAACAAAUUUUUCAAACAAAAAUUUUACACCCCUAUGGGAUCACCGCUCUCGCCUCGUUGCAGAUCUUGUUAUGCAAGACCUGAAAGCUGAGGCUCUCGCACGAAUAGGUGUUCAAUUGCCUGUGUAUUUUAGAUACGAUGAUAUUUUAAUGGCAAUCGCUAGUGAUAUGAUUGACUUUACUUUGCAGACGUUCAAUUCUUUGCAUCCCAAAUUGCAAUUUACGGUGGAGAGAAAGGAUAAUAAAAUCAACUUUUUAGACGUCACUCAUCAUUAAAGACAACAAUGUAUUAAUGUUCGAUUGGUAUCAUAAGCCAACCUAUUUGGGCAGAUAUCUAAACUUUUUGUCGGCUCACUCCCUCUCACAAAAAAAGAGGAACUAUUAUUGGGAUAAUUGACAGAGCGUUUUUAUUAUCCGAAGCAGUUUUUCACAAAAAGAACAUUAAGUUUAUUAUAGAGAUCUUGUUAACUAAUGACUAUCCGAUUGAAUUUAUUUUUGAGACAAUUAACAAUCGCCUCAAAUCUUUAAUUUUUAAAAGUACUCUCAAACAAACCGACAAUAAUGUGAACAACGAUACAUUAGAUAAAAAAGCUCCGUGGUUUUUGUUACCUUAUAUGCCGACUAUUUUGGAUAAGUUUAUGACAAUCACCAACAAUUUGGAUGUUAAAUUGGCUUUUUUCAGUCUAAAUAAAUUAAACAGGAUUAUUAAAGUGCAGAAGGAUGUUCUCCCGAAGAAUUCAAUGAAAAAUGUAGUCUACCAAAUCUUAUGUAAAGAUUGUGAUGCGUCAUACGUUGGCCAAACCGGUAGGAAAUUAAAAACAAGAGUCACCAAACAUCGCAAUCACUUUAAUCGGAACACGACUAAUCUUUCCGUAAUUACCAAACACAGAUUAAAUUGUAAUCAUGAUUUCGACUGGGAGAACAUUAAAAUUUUGGGCAGUGAACGCUUCUUAAACAGACAAUUAAUUUCAGAAAUGCUAAAUAUUCAAUUGCAAAAAAUGGUCUCAAUUUGCAGACAGAAACAGAAUUCUCGCACAAUACAUACUUCUCACUUUAAAAAAAACUGUAAAAUUAUUUAUGUAAUUUAAUCACUCCGUUCUGCUUAUUUAUUUGUUCUAGUCAGUUUUUUUUUCUUUUGUAGAAAUAAAAAAAUCUUUUUUUUAUUUUAUCUACAAGAUUAUUAAUGUAUGUCGCUAAUCAAUUUAUUGUACAAAUUAAGUGUUUUGUUAACCGACGUAUCUUUACUGGCCUCUUUGUUUUAUAUUAUAUUUCCCCGCUCUUAUUUAUGUUUGUAUUGAUAAUUGAUCAGUUCAACCUUGCUAAAGGUCGAACGACGAAGCUCUUAGCGCAAAAGUCAGUAUUCCCGUUGUGUUGAAACAAGAUGCACGUCUCUCUGCGGAGUGAAUAACUUGUGAUAACGUGAACAAAUAUUAUUUUGACAAGUGAAUAUUUCACAUGACAAGCGUUAUCCAAAACUUCACACGUCGUCAUCAGUUCCUAUUGGUGAGUCUCAUCUUAAUUUUAUCCUUCAAAUGCAAUUGCUCGUAACAAUAUUUUAAAGAUCUGUCAUUUCCUUCGAUUUUGAUAUGCUUUAAGAUGCCACUGCGGAUCUGACAAACCGAUGGUGACUCAACCGCAUUAUACUUCAUGGACUGAUGUCGCCAUAUUUUUUUCUCCUGUUUACUUAUACGCUGAGGAGAACUCCAAAGAGAGUCAAAACGUUCGUUGGCUGAUAUUAUGAAUAAACAGAUUUAAUUGUAUCUGUAGUUUUUAUUGCGCAAUUACAUCCGCGCUGACUCUUAAUGGCCUUAUUUUUACUUACAAGGGGAGAACCAGUGUAUGUACACGCGGUGAGAUGAAUUCAGACCGUCGCGCCGUACCAAUUCAGACAAUAACGCGUCACCUUUACCGCAGCGCGCGGUUGCCUACGAGCUAGGCGCGAUGGUGCGGCGUCACCGCACAUUGGCUUAGACGUUUUAUUUUAUAAAUUAUUAAUUAUAGCAAAUAUCGCAAAAUGGUA